UGGGGAAUAUUGCACAAUGGGCGAAAGCCUGAUGCAGCAACGCCGCGUGAGUGAUGAAGGCCUUCGGGUUGUAAAGCUCUGUCUUUUGGGACGAUAAUGACGGUACCAAAGGAGGAAGCCACGGCUAACUACGUGCCAGCAGCCGCGGUAAUACGUAGGUGGCAAGCGUUGUCCGGAUUUACUGGGCGUAAAGGAUGCGUAGGCGGAUUUUUAAGUGAGAUGUGAAAACCCUAAGCUUAACUUGGGGACUGCAUUUCAUACUGGAAAUCUAGAGUGCGGGAGAGGAGAAUGGAAUUCCUAGUGUGAGCAGGUGAAAUGCGUAGAGAUUAGGAAGAAGCACCAGUGGUCGAAGGCGAUUCGUCUGACCGUAACUGAGCGCAUGAGGCAUGGAAAGCGUGGGUAAGCAAACAGGAUUAGAUACCCUGGUAGUCCACGCCGUAAACGAUGAGUACUAGGUGUAGGAGGUAUCGACCCCUUCUGUGCCGCAGUUAACACAAUAAGUACUCCGCCUGGGAAGUACGAUCGCAAGAUUAAAACUCAAAUGAAUUGACGGGGUCAUAGCUG
rnacentral:rRNA from 1 species